rnacentral:misc_RNA from 1 species
UUUUUUUUACUGGAAUGAAGAAUCAUUUCAUAUAAGAAAAACCUACAAGUCAUUCAAUGGUUAAUGUGUUUAUCACAUGAACCGUGAAACGUAUAAAACCCUCCUGAAAAUUCUUUAUCCUUGAAUGGAAAUUUAAUGGAAUCUUUAUUCCAACUGAUUAUUUACUUCUAAUUCCUAUUAGCGUACAGCACAUUUGUUUUCUGUACAUGAUUGGUUGCAAUGGUACUCUCAAUUACAUCACAUAAGCAGAGAAAGAAUCACCCAUACUGCCUUGGAUGCCACUCACCUUCACUAUGCUGAAAUUGGUUCAUUCCAACAUUUCACCAUGCUUAAAAAGCUAAUGAACCAAACUCUAAGAGGCCACCUUAGCUCUGGCUGCUGUCUUCUACCU